rnacentral:snoRNA from 1 species
AGACGUCUGCCACGGUUUCGUUAGCUUUUCAUGGCUUUGAGCGAAUCUGUCCAAUGUCGUCUUACAUCGAUCAUUUCUGCCCUCAUGAUAGGAAGCGGGGUUGACCGACUUUAAUGGUUUACACUGUGCCAACCGGGCGAUUACAUUU